AGUGAACGCUGGCGGCAGGCCUAACACAUGCAAGUCGAGCGGCAGCGCGGGGGCAACCCUGGCGGCGAGCGGCGGACGGGUGAGGAAUUCGUCGGAAUCUGCCUUUUUGUGGGGGAUAACGUAGGGAAACUUACGCUAAUACCGCAUACGUCCUACGGGAGAAAGUGGGGGACCGCAAGGCCUCACGCAGAAAGAUGAGCCGACGACCGAUUAGCUAGUUGGUGGGGUAAAGGCCCACCAAGGCGACGAUCGGUAGCUGGUCUGAGAGGAUGAUCAGCCACACUGGGACUGAGGCACGGCCCAGACUCCUACGGGAGGCAGCAGUGGGGAAUAUUGGACAAUGGGCGCAAGCCUGAUCCAGCCAUGCCGCGUGUGUGAAGAAGGCCUUCGGGUUGUAAAGCACUUUUGUCCGGAAAGAAAUCCCUGGAGCUAAUACCUUCGGGGGAUGACGGUACCGGAAGAAUAAGCACCGGCUAACUUCGUG
rnacentral:rRNA from 1 species